GAUGAACGCUGGCGGCGUGGAUAAGGCAUGCAAGUCGAACGUCCCAUGUAUUUAUAUAUGAGAAGUGGUAAACGGGGUAGUAACAGGUAGGGAACAUACCCAUGAGUCAGGAAUAACUGCAGGAAACUGUAGCUAAUACCUGAUAGUCCCUUCGGGGUAAAGAUUUAUCGCUCAUGGAAUGGCCUGCUUCGUAUCAGCUAGUUGGUAGUGUAAAGGACUACCAAGGCUAUGACGCGUAGGGGAGGUGAGAGCCUGACCCCCACCAUUGGGACUGCGACACGGCCCAA
rnacentral:rRNA from 1 species